GACAGAGGGUGCAAACGUUGCUCGGAAUUACUGGGCGUAAAGCGCGUGUAGGCUGUUCGGAAAGUCGGGUGUGAAAGCCCUGGGCUCAACCUAGGAAGUGCACUCGAAACUCCCGAACUGGAGUCCCGGAGAGGAAGGUGGAAUUCUCGGUGUAGAGGUGAAAUUCGUAGAUAUCGAGAGGAACAUCGGUGGCGAAGGCGGCCUUCUGGACGGUGACUGACGCUGAGACGCGAAAGCGUGGGGAGCAAACAGG
rnacentral:rRNA from 1 species